CUCCAGCAUCCGCCUGGCACCUGACACCUCCCUGCUAGCCAGUCCCAGAGAGCUCUUUUCCUCCAGACUAGCUGGGGCUGGAACUGCUUAGAAUCGGACCCAGAAGAGGCCGAGUUCCGUCCAGGACUAAAGGCAGCCUCCAGGGAAUAAAGCUGUCAGUGUGGGCGCAGACUAGGGAAGGGGCACUAGGUCGUUCAAGCUGAAUGCUGGGGUUCCACAGCCUCCUCACACCCCCUUUAGUGCCUCAGGUAGAGUAGGCUUGUGGGGACACUGAGGUUUCCUCAGGUCCUUUCCCUGCUCAAUAACUCUCCAUGGCUCGCCACUACCCACUGCAUAAAGCCCUAACUCCUAUACCUGGCAUUUGGGAGCCUCUGUGAUUCCACUUCUUCAGUCUCUUCUCCUCCCUAAGCCCCCAUGCCCCAGCCACAGGGGCUACUUAGGUGCCCCUCCUGCUCCCCUUUCCCCUUGCACCCAAACCUUCUCUGCUCAUGUGCUAUUUCCUGGGGCCUUCUCUAGGGCUCAUUCCCUAGUUGGAGUUAAAUUCUGCUUCCAAGGAAUCAGCCACCCAAAUAACAAACCAGUCCACCUGAGAAUCUAGUCUGUGAUGCAGCGUCAAUAGCUUCUGAUGAAUUUGCUUCUGACCAGUAGCCUCCAGGGGUCAUAAAACAUUCACAGAGAGGAACACAGAGAAGAUGUGGGUCUUCAGGCUCAGAGAAGAGAAGGCAUUGUUUGCCCAUGAAUGUUUGCAAGUAAAUAGCAGAGCUGGGACUCAAAGAGUCCGGAUCUGGGGCUCCAUCAUGAAUCUCUAAGAGUGGCCCAGAGAUUCUCACGUUCCCUAGGUAAUCAUUCUGGCAGUCUGCUGCCUUUGCACAUGCUCUUCUCUCUGCUGAGAAUGGCCUUCCCUCAAUCCAUCUGGUGAACUCCUAUUCAGUCUUCCAAACCCUGCUUAGCAUGACCUCCCCCUUCCCAGAUGCUCUCUCUACUCACUCUCCUUCCCCUGUGGUACAAGUUCUGCACCUGUACAGAUUCUUAACCCUCUACGCUUGACUUGGUAUUGUUGCUGCUCAUUUCCCCUCUUGCUCCUCCUCCAGCUUGGGGCCUCCAUGAGGCUAACAAUGGGGUCACAUGUCUCUGUCCCUGGGAAAGUGGCCAGCAUGGGGCUGGCCCAGAGAAGGACAAGGUGGCUGUUUGGUGAGUGUGACCCAUGGGCUGAGUAAGGCAGACCCGCAACUGGGAAAAGGCAUAGACUGGAUGUGCUAAGAAACAAGGAGCUGUGGAGAGACUUUGAGGAGGGAAGUAGCAAAACCCAAAAGUCAUUCACCCACGUGCCUCAGCUGCAGAACCUGUCCUCAAGGUGCUCACAGGCUGAGGGAAGGCAGACAGAGGACAAGUGGCAACCUACAAAACACCAAAUGGGCUCCAUACUCAACCAAGGUGCCCCUCAGCCAGAACUGGACACAUUGCCAGAGAACUCCAGGGGUCAUCUGGUCGGCUCAGCCUCCCGGUUUCCGACAGACAGUCACCAUAGACUCACCUGAACUGUGAGAAGUAGAGGAAGGCGUCCCAGAGGAGUGCACCGAAGUCACCCAGCGGCCGAGUGAGAACUCC
rnacentral:lncRNA from 1 species